rnacentral:rRNA from 1 species
AUUGAACGCUGGCGGCAGGCUUAACACAUGCAAGUCGAGCGAGCGGCGGACGGGUGCGUAAUGUCUGGGAAACUGCCUGAUGGAGGGGGAUAACUACUGGAAACGGUAGCUAAUACCGCAUACCAUCAGAUGUGCCCAGAUGGGAUUAGCUAGUAGGUGGGGUAAUGGCUCACAUAGGCGACGAUCCCUAGCUGGUCUGAGAGGAUGACCAGCCACACUGGAACUGAGACACGGUUCAGAGUCCUACGGAGGUCAGCAGUGGGGAAUAGUGCACAAGGGGCGCAAGCCGGAUGCAGCCAUGCCGCGUGUGGGAAGACGGCCUUCGGGUUGUAAAGCACUUUCAGCGAGGAGGCGUUACUCGCAGAAGAAGCACCGGCUAACUCCGUGCCAGCAGCCGCGGUAAUUC